rnacentral:rRNA from 1 species
UACGGAGGGGGCUAGCGUUGUUCGGAAUUACUGGGCGUAAAGCGCACGUAGGCGGCUUUGUAAGUUAGAGGUGAAAGCCCAGGGCUUAACCCUGGAAUUGCCUUUAAGACUGCAUCGCUAGAAUCGUGGAGAGGUGAGUGGAAUUCCGAGUGUAGAGGUGAAAUUCGUAGAUAUUGGGAAGAACACCAGUGGCGAAGGCGGCUCACUGGCUCGUAACUGACGCUCAUGCACGACAGCGUGGGGAUCAAACAGG